rnacentral:rRNA from 1 species
UCGCAAGAUAGAAUUUUGAUGACUCUGGAUAACUUUACUGAUCGUACAACGUUUUUGUUGACGACAAAUCUCUUGAAAUGGCUGACCUAUCAACUUUAGAUGGUAAGAUCAAAGCUUACCAUGGUUGUAACGGGUAACGGGGAAUCAGUGUUCGAUUCCGGAGAGGGAGCCUGAGAAACGGCUACCACAUCCACGGAAGGCAGCAGGCGCGAAAAUUACCCAAUACCGGUUCGGUGAGGUAGUGACAAUAAAUAACAAUAUGGGCCCUUAGUGGUUUCAUAAUUGCAAUGAGAUUAUUUUAAAUACUUUUUCAAGUAUCAAUUGGAGGGCAAGUCUGGUGCCAGCAGCCGCGGUAAUUCCAGCUCCAAAAGCGUAUAUUAAAGUUGUUGCAGUUAAAAAGCUCGUAGUUGAAAUUGGGGAAACGAUUUAACGAACCGUCUUUGAUGGAUUGUUUUAUCUUCCUUCGUCGUCGUGUAUAUUGUGGAUUCACUUAAUUGAGAGUUCGCAGUAACCGACAAGUUUACUUUGAAAAAAUUAGAGUGCUUAAAGCAGGCUUAUGCUUGUAUAUUGUUGCAUGGAAUAAUGAAAUAAGACUUUGGUUUUAUUUUGUUGGUUUUCGAAACUAAAGUAAUGAUUAAAAGAGACUGCCGGGGGCAUAUGUAUGCUGGUGCUAGAGGUGAAAUUCUUAGACCAUCAGCAGACAAUCUACUGCGAAAGCAUUUGCCAAGAAUGUUUUCAUUAAUCAAGAACGAAAGUCAGAGGAUCGAAGACGAUCAGAUACCGUCCUAGUUCUGACCAUAAACUAUGCCAACUGACAGUUAGAGGUGAUAUUUUAUCAUCUUUCUAGAAGUCACCGGGAAACCAAAGUCUUUGGGUUCCGGGGGAAGUAUGGUUGCAAAGCUGAAACUUAAAGGAAUUGACGGAAGGGCACCACCAGGAGUGGAGCCUGCGGCUUAAUUUGACUCAACACGGGAAAUCUCACCCGGUCCGGACACUGUGAGGAUUGACAGAUUGAUAGCUCUUUCUUGAUUCGGUGGGUGGUGGUGCAUGGCCGUUCUUAGUUGGUGGAGUGAUUUGUCAGGUUAAUUCCGAUAACGAACGAGACUCUGACUUACUAAAUAGUGGAUUUAUUUUAACUCGUAAAUAAUCACUUCUUAGAAGAAUAAAUAGCGUUUAGCUAAAUGAAAAAGAGCAAUAACAGGUCUGUGAUGCCCUUAGAUGUCCGGGGCCGCACGCGCGCUACAAUGGCAGUACCAGCGAGUAUUCCUAACUAGAAAUAGUCGGGUAAUCUUCUGAAACACUGUCGUGUCAGGAAUUGUGAAUUGUAAUUAUUUCACAUGAA